rnacentral:rRNA from 1 species
GACGAACGCUGGCGGCGUGCUUAACACAUGCAAGUCGAACGCUGAAGCCCUGGCUUUUGUUGGGUUGGAUGAGUGGCGAACGGGUGAGUAACACGUGAGUAACCUGCCCUCUUCUUUGGGAUAACGCCCGGAAACGGGUGCUAAUACUGGAUAUUCACUGAUCUUCGCAUGGGGGUUGGUGGAAAGGUUUGUUCUGGUGGGGGAUGGGCUCGCGGCCUAUCAGCUUGUUGGUGGGGUGAUGGCCUACCAAGGCUUUGACGGGUAGCCGGCCUGAGAGGGUGACCGGUCACAUUGGGACUGAGAUACGGCCCAGACUCCUACGGGAGGCAGCAGUGGGGAAUAUUGCACAAUGGGCGAAAGCCUGAUGCAGCGACGCCGCGUGAGGGAUGGAGGCCUUCGGGUUGUAAACCUCUUUCACUCAUGGUCAAGCCGCAACUGUGGGUUGUGGUGAGGGUAGUGGGUAAAGAAGCGCCGGCUAACUACGUG